AUGUAUCUUAAAGAGGCCACACAGGGGGUGUUAGUAUUUCUUGAAGAAAUCCAGUUUAAACACUAGUUCUGCUUUUCUUUUGCAGCUAUCAAUAAAGGAAGGACAACUCUGAGAAAGAAACCUACAAUGAGGUUAUUAUCAUGAGAAGAAAAUGGAGAGUGGUGGUUUGCCUAACUGUGAUCUUUAUUUUGUAUGUUUCAUACAAAAUAUUGGAGCCAGACAUCAAAAGGGAGAUAAUUCAGGCAGACUCAAUUAUCAAAGAAGUCCCAGUUGUAAUGGAAGAUAACUCCAGACUCAGUGAAGAGGAGGCUGACACAGAUGUUGAAAAACUUGUGAAAGAGUUGCAGAAAAAAUACUGGAUCAAUUUUCAUUACCCUCUGAAGGAUUCACCAUGGCGAGUUGCAGAAAAAAUGGUAACAGAGAGGGAAGUGCAUCCGGAAUAUGCACCAGAAAUAGGUUCAAUACUGAAGGCAAUGGCUACAAGGAAAAUUUUAUCAGCUGACACGGGCUAUAAAGGGACACAACUCAAGCUUACAUUGAUACUUGAAGGAGGCCAAAUUGUAGCAUUUAAACCUAGAUGGUAACAGCCAUGCAUGCACAGUACAGAAGAGAGGAGAUUUUCACUGAGACUCCAUACUCUGGUGCUGACCGUCACAAUGGAGAGAUUGCUGCAUUCCACCUCAACAGGAUAAUGGAAUUUAGACGUACUCCUUUAGCUGUGGGAAGAAAAAUCAAUUUAAACACAGAAAUCAUUCCAAAUGGAUCAGAGCAGCUACUGAAGACAUUUUUUGUCAAUGGUUCAAACACCUGUUUUUAUGGUAAAUGUUACUACUGCAAGGGGGAGGAGACGGGUGUGUGUGGUGAGGAGGAUAUACUGGAGGGGACUGUUAUACUGUGGCUUCCCAGGGCUUACCCCUUAAAGACUCACAGACAUCCAUGGGCCAGAACCUAUGUCACUGGAAAACUAGCACAAUGGGAAAAAGAUCCAAAUUACUGCACUGCUGUUCAAGCCAGCCAUAUUUACUCUCAAGGACCGAGGCUUCUUGAUCUUAUAGAUACUGCUAUUUUUGAUUUUCUCAUUGGAAAUGCAGACAGACACAGAUAUGAAACCCUUGGAAAUCAGAUGGAAUCUGUCUUUCUGAUGCUAGACAAUGGAAAGAGCUUUGGUAACCCUUUCCAUGAUGAAAUAUCAAUCUUGGCACCUUUAUACCAAUGCUGUAUAGUUAGAGAUGAGACAUACAAAAGACUGCUUACCCUUAAGAAAGGAGUACUGAGUAAAGUGCUAAGACAGGUGCUGAAACAGGACCCGAUAUCCCCGAUACUGGCCGAGCAACAUUACCCAGCCCUUGAUAGGCGUGUGACCAUUGCACUAGAGAAAAUUCAGACUUGUAUUGAUAAAGUACCAGGAAAAACAGUCUUGGUAGGAAAAAAAGGGUCUUAACAAAGACUUUCUAUAGAUCUUUUUAAUGAAUUACAAGGUGGCAGGAAUUAGGAUAAUAUACAAUUAUACUUGUUUAGCAUACUAAAUAUUGUUUAGUUCAGGUUAGCUAGUUGUUUGAAAUCAUUUGAUUGCUAAAAUGUGCAUUAUUUAUUCUUUUUAAUCCAACAUUAUUAACUAAGUAUGUGUAUAUAUUUUUCAUUUGAUUAUUCUUUUUACCUUGGAAUGUUCAUUUUCUAGUCAGGCUUGCUGGUACAUGUAUCAUUGAUUUUUCCCAAAUGAUUUUUUAUACCAUAUUACUGUGUAUGACAGAGCAUCUAUUUUCCAUUAAGAAGUUUAGAAUGAUAACACAUAUGCAUGUUACUUAAUUAAGAUUCAAUGUCUUUCACUAAAACAAUUUUAUUAUGGAGUAAAAUGAGAGAUAGACUUAAGAGUGGUAGACCCAUAGUAACUGUUGUAUAUUUAUGCAAAUUAAGACUCAAAACAUUGUUCUUUUAUUAAAAUCAUUUAUAUGCUGCAAAGUGUAAAUGAAUCCUUCCAAAGUCAGUGUAUGAAAGGGGAUGUGAAAUUAAACUGAUAAUGUCUUAGUGGAUGAACAUGUAAUGGUUGUCUUCAUAGAGAAUCACUUAGGGCAUUAAUUGUUUUAUCAACAUCAUAUUUGUGUUGUAGUUUGUAUAUGAUUCAUAAGGGUUGGUUCUUUACAGUUUUUUCUAUUUAAGGUUUAUUUUUAUCCAUGAAAAAAUUGUUGGCAAUAACUUUAAUAUUGUACACAAAAAUUGUUUUUCUAUUUGUUAUUUUUAAUCUUAGAAUAAAUUAAUUGCAAAC
rnacentral:misc_RNA from 1 species